CAACCUGAGUCCACAUUCCUCCCGGUAAACAAGAGCCCUGCCAUUUUCAAGUGCCAGCCCUAUCGGAAGACAGACUUGGCGCUUGUAUCUCCUCCGACACCUCACACGACUCUGACAGUCUUACCCUCUUGCUCAAACAACACGCCCCGAUGGGGAUGUAUGUAGCCUAUGUGUUUGUAACUGUGGGAGAGAGGAAAACACACAAGGAGUGGAGAAAACUAGAAAAUGUCAUGGUUGGCCCCUUCGCCGUGCUCGGGAUGGAAGAGGAGAUUAGAUGUUGGCUAGGCCUCAACCCAGAGACAUGCUCAAGUCCACGCUGAAUUAGCCCUUGAUGCCUUCAAGCUGUUCUCAACACGGCGCUAUCAGCUCCUUCACAUCCCUCUCUCAGCGGCUCACAGAAACCUGAACUGCGGCACCGGGGGGGCUCAUAAGAAAAAUGUGGGUCGGAAGCUCGGAGCUCACUCUGACAGGCCGCUCGCUCUGGCAGGUGGGCAUCUCUUAUGAAAGCUGCACGAUAAUAAAAGUGAACUCAACGCCGGUCUGCCUUCAAAUUUCACAGGGAUCAGAUAUGGAUUAGGCCCGCGAAUCCAAGUGGUUCUGAAGCUGAGGAUUAGCCCAUCUGUGACCUAGCAUAACUGAGCCCGGGCGGAGGAAGGCAGGGACCGGUAUUCAAGGUGAAGUCCGACUCCCCGUGGAAAAGGCGGUUCUGUGUGUUUGAAGCAGCCUUUCUCAGGCACCACUUCCGCUCUCCAGAUUAGCUCCGGUGAUCUGAUUCUCAUGGCUUCCUCUGGCUCCGUGUCCCUUCGUCUUCUUCAUGGCCCGGUGACACGAGGGUUUCCUUGAAGGGGGACACUCAUUCUUCGGCUCGCCCGAUCGGUCCAGGAUGUGGUGCACAAAAAGCGUCAUCCAUUAGGCGCACUGAUACCGGUUGACAGCCAUGAUAGAUUCACUGAGACUGUGGGGGGAGGGAGAGAAGAAGCAGGAGCGCCCUCCUUUGUCAGUUCCCAAGUUCCCUGAUUCGUACGGGUAGAUCAGCUCCUUCCAUUCACCCACAGACUCUGGCAGCGUUCCUGUGCAAAACUUUGCCUCAACCUAGACUGAACAUCACAAAGGAACAUUUAAACAUAACUAUCCAAAUAAUAUUGAUUUCGUAAAAGUCUGUGCCAGGCUGCGUGAUGUUUGUUUCAAAAAGUUGAGGUUGGAGUUUCCGGGGGGGGAUAUAAAACAACAGAUUUCUAUUCA